rnacentral:rRNA from 1 species
GAUGAACGCUAGCGGGAGGCUUAAUACAUGCAAGUCGAGCGGUAGAUUGACUUCGGUUGAUUGAGAGCGGCGCACGGGUGAGUAACGCGUACGUGACCUGCCCUUAAGAGGGGGAUAGCCCUGGGAAACUGGGAGUAAUCCGCCAUGUGUUUGUGAAGCUGCAUGGUUUUACAAAUAAAGCUGAGGCGCUUAAGGAUGGGCGUGCGUCUGAUUAGGUAGUUGGCAGGGUAACGGCCUACCAAGCCUACGAUCAGUAGGGGGCGUGAGAGCGUGGCCCCCCACACGGGUACUGAGACACGGACCCGACUCCUACGGGAGGCAGCAGUAAGGAAUAUUGGUCAAUGGGCGGAAGCCUGAACCAGCCAUCCCGCGUGCAGGAUGAAGGGGGCUCUGCCUUGUAAACUUCUUUUGUAUGGGGGCGAAAAAAAGGGGAUUUAUCCUCGACUGACGGUACCAUAAGAAUAAGCACCGGCUAACUCCGUGCCAGCAGCCGCGGUAAU